UACGUAGGGUGCGAGCGUUGUCCGGAAUUAUUGGGCGUAAAGAGCUCGUAGGCGGUGUGUCACGUCGUUCGUGAAAACCUGCAGCUUAACUGUGGGCGUGCGGUCGAUACGGGCAUCACUGGAGUUCGGCAGGGGAGACUGGAAUUCCUGGUGUAGCGGUGAAAUGCACAGAUAUCAGGAGGAACACCGGUGGCGAAGGCGGGUCUCUGGGCCGAUACUGACGCUGAGGAGCGAAAGCGUGGGGAGCGAACAGG
rnacentral:rRNA from 1 species